rnacentral:tRNA from 1 species
UCCCCGGUGGCUCAGGAGGUAAAGCGUCUGCCUGCAAUGCGGGAGACCCGGGUUCCAUCCCUGGGUUGGGAA